UACGUAGGGUGCAAGCGUUGUCCGGAUUUACUGGGCGUAAAGGGCGUGCAGGCGGUUUGCUAAGUCUAGGGUGAAAGCUCCCGGCUUAACUGGGAGAGGUCCUUGGAUACUGGCAGACUUGAGGAGGGUAGAGGAGAGUGGAAUUCUCGGUGUAGCGGUGAAAUGCGUAGAUAUCGAGAGGAACACCUGCGGCGAAGGCGGGUUGCUGGGCCGACACUGACGCUGAGGCGCGAAAGCCAGGGGAGCGAACGGG
rnacentral:rRNA from 1 species